rnacentral:lncRNA from 1 species
CUUGUUAAUACCUGAACAAGUUUGUGAUGAUGGUACGAGAAUCCGAUAUUGCAUAUAAGAUGCCAAGCACUUGUUCCAUUUUUUUUAUAUUUUCUUUUAAGAGAUCCGAGUUGAGUGUGUUGAAGAAAUUUUUUCCUUUCUCCGAUCAAAUCAAACCUUGACUUGGUCUUCCAAGGAUAAGAUUUCUAUAAAAGCAAGUGAACUUGAUUUUACAUUUUUAAUAUGAGACCAACAAAAAAAAGAGUUUUAAAUCUUUUAAAAUGAGAAUAAGAAUCUGUUUUAAAAUUUAAAACUUUCCAAAAUUAAAAUUUCCAAACAAUUCUAGCAUCACUCCACUCCUCUCUCUCCUCUAUUAAAACCGCGUCUCCCUUUUUACCCCACAAGCAACUCUCAAACUUUC